GACAUGAGCAAGCAGAUGUAAACCGCUAGCUGAAGAAGAGGGACAAUGACUGGUGCUUUGACAAGCUCCCAGAUCAUGCCUAGCUGGCCUGUGAUCUCCAUCCUCACGCCGUCGAAUGUCUCCGGUAACACAAACUUUGGUGUAACACCAUCCAUUUUCCUUCUCUCUCUAGAAUGCUAUGGUGAUGGGGUUUAUGAAGUGAAGGAGAGAGGGAGAUGAAGGAUAGAGGCUUUUCUCUCUCUAUAAAUCUAGAGAGAGAGGAAACUUAGGGAAGAGAGAGCAGAAGGAAACUGAUGGUUAAGGGAGGAGAGAAAGAGAAGGGAUAAACCAGCAAUAUAAAUGGUGAAUUUUCACAUCAUUUUAUUUAAUUUAUUUAAUUUCUUCCUUUUGUAGGAUAUUUUUUCCUUUUUAGAUUUGAUUCCUUAGGGAUUUUCUACAGACAGUAGUAAAUGUUAAGUUAAAAAUAAAUAAACACAAGUGACACUUGGUUUAUGGCCUUUGUUAGGAAUUACGAAUCUAUCUCAGUUAAAGAAGUUCUCUGGUAAAGAAACAACAGAGGAUUUAGUUUUUCAGUUUUUGGGUUUUCUUGUUUCAGAAUCUGUGCUUGCCAAUGGG
rnacentral:lncRNA from 1 species